GGGCGUCAUAGCUCAGCUGGGAGAACAACAGACUGAAGUAUAGGUGGUAUCGUAUUUGGAUAAUUUGGAGGUCCCGUGUUCAAUCCACGGUGUUCA